rnacentral:rRNA from 1 species
ACCUCCCACCCUUGUCUCUAUACACCUGUUGCUUUGGCGGGCCCACCGGGGCCCCCUGGUCGCCGGGGGACGCACGUCUCCGGGCCCGCGCCCGCCGAAGCGCUCUGUGAACCCUGAUGAAGAUGGGCUGUCUGAGUACUGUGAAAAUUGUCAAAACUUUCAACAAUGGAUCUCUUGGUUCCGGCAUCGAUGAAGAACGCAGCGAAAUGCGAUAAGUAAUGUGAAUUGCAGAAUUCCGUGAAUCAUCGAAUCUUUGAACGCACAUUGCGCCCCCUGGCAUUCCGGGGGGCAUGCCUGUCCGAGCGUCAUUUCUGCCCUCAAGCACGGCUUGUGUGUUGGGUGUGGUCCCCCCGGGGACCUGCCCGAAAGGCAGCGGCGACGUCCGUCUGGUCCUCGAGCGUAUGGGGCUCUGUCACUCGCUCGGGAAGGACCUGCGGGGGUUGGUCACCACCAUGUUUUACCACGGUUGACCUCGGAUCAGGUAGGAGUUACCCGCUGAACUUAAGCAUAUCAAUAAGCGGAGGAAC